CAGGUGAGCAUGCGCGCGGAUUUAGCUCACCAUAGCAACCAGGGCAGGAGACUGUAGCAACUAGAAUCCUAACAAUGGAGGGGUGCUCAUGUGAAGAGCAAUCUGCAUAAUUAAUGCAAAUUAUUCAUAAUCUAAGAGUUAUCUGACCAUCGGAAGUCACCUUCAGUAGAAUGGCAAAAGCAACAACUAUCAAGGAAGCUCUAGCCAAAUGGGAAGAAAAAAAUGGUCAGAAGCCAUCGGAGGCCAAGGAAGUGAAACUCUACGCUCAGAUUCCCCCUAUAGAAAAGAUGGAUGCAUCUCUUUCUACUCUUGUUAACUGCGAAAAGCUGUCUUUAUCUACAAACUGCAUUGAAAAAAUUGCCAACUUAAAUGGGCUAAGUAA